rnacentral:rRNA from 1 species
AGUGAACGCUGGCGGUAGGCCUAACACAUGCAAGUCGAACGGCAGCACAGUAAGAGCUUGCUCUUACGGGUGGCGAGUGGCGGACGGGUGAGGAAUACAUCGGAAUCUACCUUUUCGUGGGGGAUAACGUAGGGAAACUUACGCUAAUACCGCAUACGACCUACGGGUGAAAGCAGGGGAUCUUCGGACCUUGCGCGAUUGAAUGAGCCGAUGUCGGAUUAGCUAGUUGGCGGGGUAAAGGCCCACCAAGGCGACGAUCCGUAGCUGGUCUGAGAGGAUGAUCAGGCAAAAUGGAAACGAGAAACGGUCCAGAAUCCUAAGGGAGGCAGCAGUGGGGAAUAUUGGACAAUGGGCGCAAGCCUGAUCCAGCCAUACCGCGUGGGUGAAGAAGGCCUUCGGGUUGUAAAGCCCUUUUGUUGGGAAAGAAAAGCAGCAGGUUAAUACCCCGCUGUUCUGACGGUACCCAAAGAAUAAGCACCGGCUAACUUCGUG